AUUGAACGCUGGCGGCAUGCCUUACACAUGCAAGUCGAACGGCAGCACGGGAGCAAUCCUGGUGGCGAGUGGCGAACGGGUGAGUAAUAUAUCGGAACGUGCCCGGUCGUGGGGGAUAACGUAGCGAAAGCUACGCUAAUACCGCAUACGAUCUACGGAUGAAAGCGGGGGAUCGCAAGACCUCGCGCGAUUGGAGCGGCCGAUAUCAGAUUAGGUAGUUGGUGAGGUAAAGGCUCACCAAGCCGACGAUCUGUAGCUGGUCUGAGAGGACGACCAGCCACACUGGGACUGAGACACGGCCCAGACUCCUACGGGAGGCAGCAGUGGGGAAUUUUGGACAAUGGGCGCAAGCCUGAUCCAGCAAUGCCGCGUGCAGGAUGAAGGCCUUCGGGUUGU
rnacentral:rRNA from 1 species